AUGGAAAAUGCCUGCACAAGCCUCAACCAGGUGGCCCGCUCGGUGCGGCUGCUCAAGAUCGACGGCUUCAGCUUGACCGCGGGCAUGGGCGGCGACUACUGCCUCAAGUCCAUAUGGACUGUUGAUGGGUACGAGCUGGAAGUCCUUAUCUAUCCGGGCACCACAUGGGUGGCUCUGAAACUCGUCUUUCUCAGUGAAGCCCGUACACAGUGGGGCGUGAGGGCGAACAUGGCCUGUCAGCUCGUAGAUCUCAGCAGGGAGCUUGAGCCGUAUCAUGAGUACGGUGUGUCAGAAACCUUCUACCAUCCCCAACACUUCGGGGCACUGGUCUUCAUGGAUAGAAACAAGAUACCAUCUGGUUAUAUCAAGGAUGAUAUGUUGACCCUGCGAUGCACGAUCACCGUACUCAAAGAAUUACCGGCGCCAACCAUCCCAGCUGAAGAAGUGAUCGCCCAACCAUCCACCAACUUGCACCGGCACCUCGGCGAACUCCUGCAGAGCGAGAUGGGAGCCGAUGUCACAUUUCUUGUGUGCGACGAGUCGUUUGCUGCACACAAGUGCAUACCUGCCGCAAGGUCUCCGGUUUUCAAGGCCCAGUUCUUCGGUGACAUGAAGGAGACGUGCUCGGCACGCGUGGAGAUCAAGGACAUGGAGGUGGCGGCGUUCAGGGCCAUGCUGCACUUCAUCUAUACUGACACGAUGCCUGAGUUUGAUCGACCACUUGAGGAGGUGACGACUAUGGCUCAACAUUUGCUUGUGGCUGCUGACAUGUAUGGACUUGAGAGGCUCAAGCUGAUUUGUGAAAUAAAGCUCUCUAUUGGCAUCACCGUCGACACCGCAGCGACCACUCUUGCUUUGGCGGAGCAGCACAAUUGCUCCAAGCUCAAGGCCAAAUGUGUCGGGUUUAUCGUCAGCACGCCUGCUAUUCUUGAGGCUGUGUUGGCGACAGAUGGGUAUAAGCACCUUGAAACAAGCUGCCCUUUGAUCCUGACUGAGCUUCUCAAGUCUGUCCAUUGUGUGCAGGGCUUGGCAAGAACCUUCUUCCCGGUGUUGUUAAGACUUAAGAGUUCGUUUUCGAUAAAGGGCAAGUUUAGUGUUUGUUUUGAUGCCUUAUCCAGGUUAGGGCCACUUGGAUAA
rnacentral:rRNA from 1 species